GACGUAGGUGGCGAACGUUAUCCGGAAUGAUUGGGCGUAAAGGGUCCGCAGGUGGCAGUGUAAGUCUGCUGUCAAAGAAUGAGGCUUAACCUUAUCAAGGCAGUGGAAACUACACAGCUAGAGUACGGUCGGGGUAGAAGGAAUUCCUGGUGUAGCGGUGAAAUGCGUAGAGAUCAGGAAGAACACCGGUGGCGAAAGCGUUCUGCUAGACCUGUACUGACACUGAGGGACGAAAGCUAGGGGAGCGAAUGGG
rnacentral:rRNA from 1 species